GGUGGUGUUGGGUAGAGGAGAAAGCAGGGUGGGGCUGAGAUGGGCAGGUCUAUACCUGGUCCUCCUAAUGGCCAGUACAAGUGCCAGCCCUGAUGGGGGUUGGAGGACAGUUCUCAGGCCACUGGAGCAAUAGUUCAGGGAGAAGUGGAGCAACUCUUUCUGUUCCAACUAACCAGCAUGGGGAAAGUGGGGUGGCUCGGGUUCCAUAGCCUAGCAGGUGGUAGUGAGACCUGCCUUGCUCUCAUGCUCUCAACCUAGCGGGAUACCAUCCUACGGCCUGCCACUGGCAUCGAGCUGAGGCAGCCAGCCAAAUCACAAGCAGUUUGUCUUUGGACUGCAAUAUAACCCCAGGCCAUAAAACUGUGGCUCCCAGGUGAAACCCCUCCCAGCCCAAUUCCAGGAUGGGGAGGUUCCCGAAUCCCAUAACCUUGGCUGGAGCCAAUGCCACACUUGCUUAUCAGUUCUGGCCUCGUUCCUGGGACUGUGCAUAGUCUGCUAAAAGCAGAUGAGAAUUUCACAAAAUGCCACGUUAUCACAAAUUUCUGAAGAGGCUGACAGGUUAUUAAUCAGGAUAAACCACAUUGAAUAAAGUAUUCCUGUUAAGUGGUUCUGCAGCCUCUGAAUCGGCUGGGAAGUUGUUGGACAUGAGAAUUCUUAGGCUCCUGCCCAGAUCUAACAAAUCACAACCUCAGGAGGUGGGGCCCAGCACCUUGUAUGUUCGUAAGUUCUCCGGCUGACUGGAUGCUGACACUUGCUCUCAGGAAUCUACACUGGUCCCCCAUUGAUGCCAGGGGGUGCAAUGGGCAUCCUACUUCUAAUGUCUUGAUCAUGUUUCUUCAUUUAGAAUAAACUUCUUUUCUUGCUAAUCAA
rnacentral:lncRNA from 10 species